UACGAAGGGGGCUAGCGUUGCUCGGAAUCACUGGGCGUAAAGGGCGCGUAGGCGGCGUUUUAAGUCGGGGGUGAAAGCCUGUGGCUCAACCACAGAAUGGCCUUCGAUACUGGGACGCUUGAGUAUGGUAGAGGUUGGUGGAACUGCGAGUGUAGAGGUGAAAUUCGUAGAUAUUCGCAAGAACACCGGUGGCGAAGGCGGCCAACUGGACCAUUACUGACGCUGAGGCGCGAAAGCGUGGGGAGCAAACAGGAUUAGA
rnacentral:rRNA from 1 species